rnacentral:rRNA from 1 species
UACAGAGGGGGCAAGCGUUAUUCGGAAUUAUUAGGCGUAAAGGGCGCGUAGGCGGCCAUUCAAGUGACGGGUGAAAGCCCUCGGCUUAACCGAGGAACUGCCUGUCAGACUGGGUGGCUCGAGACCGGGAGAGGUGAGUGGAAUUCCCAGUGUAGCGGUGAAAUGCGUAGAUAUUGGGAGGAACACCAGUGGCGAAGGCGGCUCACUGGACCGGAACUGACGCUGAGGCGCGAAAGCGUGGGGAGCAAACAGG